GACGAACGCUGGCGGCGUGCUUAACACAUGCGAGUCGAACGGAAAGGCCCUGCUUGCAGGGUGCUCGAGUGGCGAACGGGUGAGUAACACGUGGGUGAUCUGCCCCUUACUUUGGGAUAAGCCUGGGAAACUGGGUCUAAUACUGGAUAGGACCAUGCUGUAGGUGGUGUGGUGGAAAGAUUAGUUUCGGUAAGGGAUGAGCUCGCGGCCUAUCAGCUUGUUGGUGGGGUAAUGGCCUACCAAGGCGGCGAUCCGUAGCUGGUCUGAGAGGAUGAUCAGCCACACUGGAACUGAGACACGGUCCAGACUCCUACGGGAGGCAGCAGUGGGGAAUAUUGGACAAUGGGCGCAAGCCUGAUCCAGCCAUACCGCGUGGGUGAAGAAGGCCUUCGGGUUGUAAAGCCCUUUUGUUGGGAAAGAAAAGCAGCAGGUUAAUACCCCGCUGUUCUGACGGUACCCAAAGAAUAAGCACCGGCUAACUUCGUG
rnacentral:rRNA from 1 species